UUUGUAGAUAUACAUUGCAAUUAGUUCCCAGGAUGUUCCAAGUGAAGAUUUGUUGAUUAUGAACUCUUUCAAAGUCGCAAAUGAAAGGUAUUAUCUUUUUCCUUUUUAUGUGUAGCCUGUUAUGCAUGGAUCAAUUCCUGCGGUUACCAUCCCCCCACCCGGGCAAUACCCCUGGGAUUUGUUUUUUUCUGCAAGAAUGUAGUAAAUUCACACCCCUCCCCCCCCCCGGACUUUAAAACUUGACAAUUCCCUACCCCGGGGCAUCGCUAAAAAACUAAAAAUAAGAAAUAUCAACAAGCAGUUUAUUACACACAUUUUUAAUAAAUUAUUCAUUAAAAAAUCUGUGAUUUGAAGCUCGAUUUGAAGAAUCGUUCUUUUUAAAGUAUGUUUCGAAAGUUUUAAAAAGUUUAUUUUGAAAACAAAUUGUGUUGCAAAACGUAUAUAUUGUACUGUUGAAAAAAAGAUAAACUACCUACCUUCAAAAAUAGAUUUCAACUUUUGUAAGUUGUUUUUUUCCAACCAUUCGCCAACAAAUUCGCAAGAUUUUCCCGAAAAAGCCUCUUGAAUUGACCACAAGGUAGUCACCAUUUUGAAUAUUUUUGGACAUGCGCUCACUGAACUAUAUACAUGUCACUGGAUGCGCUAGCUGCUAGAUAUGCGGUCAAAACAUGGUCCUGGAUACGAGCUUUUCUUUUUACCCCGGGGAAACCCCCGGGAUUAAAGUUUCUGCAUUAUCCCAGGGGUUGCCUGGUGGAAUGGCAACAACAAGAAUUGAUCCCAUGCAUUAUGUAUAUUUUUAGCAAUUUUCUCUUUAACCCUUUAAGUGGCAAUGCACCCCGGUGCACCCUACUUUAGUAUUUACUCUGUCUAAUGCCGGACGACGGUCAUACUAAUUACUGACAAAAAGGCGGAUAAAUACCGACAAAAGGCAAACAAAAACCGCAAAAGGCCAACAAAAUUAUUCUACAAUGAUUAAUAUGUGAAAUGGCAAGUAUUUGGGUUAAAAACUCUUGUUAGUCAGCAAAUAAAUUAUGAAUAGAUCAUCACUCUUAAUCAAGUUAUUUAUAUGACUUAGACAUGGGGAAAAAGUUUUUUUCUGCCAAAGUUUUUUUCUGCCUUGCGUCAUUGCAAAAUUGAUGUUUUGUAGCUCUCUCCUCCGUAGAGCCUCCUUAAGUAUUUACAAAUAACUUACAUGAAGUUUCCUGAAUAAAAGUGAGCGCGCGCGGUGUGAUGGGAAGAUUGAAAUGAAGUUGGGGAGGCCCUGCCAGAUAAUGCGACGAAGUAUGGUUUUUGAACCAAACUAGUUGUUCAACUUGUUUGAUCUUUUUUAAACUUGAAAUCGACAGAAAUGUGAAAGAAAUUGAAAUGAAUCUUCAUAAUCUGAGUAUCGAAGUUCAAUAGAGUCAUUUUUAUAAAGAAAUGUUGCAAUUACUAGAGGAUAUUUAUAAUUAGAUAGCUUGUGUCCAUUGAUAUUCGUUUGCAAUUUCUCAAUAUUUUUCGAUGCAAAUGGCAGAAGAAGAUAUUGAUAUUGAAUUCACCCUAGCUGGGCAGGAUACUCAAGUAUGCCUGAAAAUGAAAGUCGAAAACAUGUUUUUAACACUCCCGAUGGUUGAUCGAACUUUGCUACAAACGAUUAUAGGCAUUAUAUACAAUGCCAUAUUGAUUGCAUUAACUUGCAGAGGCUUCAAUCAAUCAAUCAAUUUAUUGAGCACCAUUAUUUAAAAAAAAAUAUAUUUGCAUUAAAUAUUUGGAUCCUGAUAUGGGUGCAAGCUAGCAGCAGUAACCAUUAGGUUAAACAAGGCAGCUAGCUAGUAAUAAAUAAUAUAUUUCCAUUUCCAAUUAAUCUUAAUUAAAGCACAGAAGUAUAACUUGAAGGUCAAAAAUUGUUCAUAUAUAAAUAAGUAAUUCACUAUUACUAGUACCUUGCUUAUAACUAUUCAAAAAAAGAGAAAAAAACAAAAGGAAGAGAAAAAAAGAAAAUCUUGUUCAAAUAUAUUGCAUGUAAUUAUUAAUUUGUAUUUUUAAUUUUCUUUUGUUAGUUUUGACAAUCAUUCCUUGUAUUUUUGCAGUAGGAAUUUUUUAACUUCAGCUUUAAAUUUUGAUGGUUUAAGUUUCUUUAUUUCAUCAUUAAUUUCAUUCCAUACCUUUACGCCCGAAAAGCGUAUAUUAAAUUUCCCAUAAUUUGUUCCUUCCUGCUUCCUUUAUUUAGCUCUUCCCAUCACUCCUUGCACACUCACUUUUCCCUCACUAGGAACUUCAUGUAAGCCUCUGCAGAGGAGAGAGUAUUUUGUAGUGAUAAAUUGAUGAUUUUGUUUUUUACGCGGGGGGGGGGCACUAUUUUUAUGGGGGGACACUAUCCAUGCUAAUGAUUUAUGAAUUUAUCUUGUUUCUUGAUGAUGUCAUUUUCUAUAUGGUAUAAUAGUUGGCCUACAAAUACUAGCAUCUAUUAAAAUACAUUAUAAGAGUGAUAAUGAUUUUGAAAAAAAUCAUUGCCAACUGAUCAAACACUACAAGCCAAAACAAAUGUAAAUAAUAAUUACUAAUUUUAGAGUCAACCAACAAGCGAGGCAUGUGUGGGACUAAAACACAAACAUAGUUAAUAGUCAAAUAAUUAAUUAAAUAACCAUGUAGUUAACAGCACAUGGGGGGUUGGAAUUUGUCUCAAAUUGAGAAAUAAAGUAAGAAAAAACUCAAGGCAAAAAUCAUUGGGCCCCCCGCCCCACCAAGAUUUCCGCCACUGAGUGGAUAAAAGUUUUUCCCACAUAUAUAGUGAUGGAAAUUAUUUUUUAAAAAACAAUGCUUUAAUGGUGAUUAUUAAAGUUAUCAAGCUAUGAGUCAUCAGCUACAGAGUACAAAAGGUCCAGACUGCCGUAUCCAUUCCUAUUGUCAUUUUGACACUGCUUACACUCUCGACUGAGUUCUCCGAAAUUAUCACUUCAAAAGUUUUUAGUCGCUUGAAAGUUUUAUUGCUUCAUUAUACCAUGCAUCAACAAAAUCUUUAAGCUGGAGACACAUUAUUCAUUUUAGAAAUAAUUAUUCAAACAGCUGAAAUCUUCCUUUAGGGAAGAGACCUAUUAUUAUUAUUUCAUUUUUCUAUUAUUUGGUGUUUUAAAUGACACAUUUUCGCAUAAAAAAUUAAUUUCAUUGUGUUUACUGCAUUCAAGGUCAAAUUUAGCUAAUAACAUGGUUAUAAAAGUUAAGGUAAAAUAGGUUAAGAAAAGUGAUAAUUAUAGUUAAAUAUCAAUUGUUCAACUAUUUAAUCUUUAGAAGGUACAGUAGGUUCCUUCCCCUAUUUCAUGGCAUUCAGUUCAGCAAUUGCUCUUGGAAAGAAACUGUUUUUAAAACGUUCAGUUCUGCACUUAUACAGUGACAGAUUAUUCACGUUUCUCAUAUAAUAUUGUUGGGCACAAGCUCUACACUGUGUCACAUGGUCAGCAAGGGAACCUGCACGUUUAACAAUCUUCUGUAAGGUAUUUAUACAAGUUUUGUUUUGCCUGUCGCUAGACCAUACCAAAACGGCAAAAGUUGAAGAGCAAAAAAUCAAGCCUUUUAUACUUUUGUCGGCUUUUGUCUUCCUUUGUCGGUAUUUGUCUGCCUUUUUGUCUGUAUUUGUCUGCCCUUCUGUCAGUUUUUGUCGGUAAUUAGUAUGAGGCCAAAGAAAACAUGGGUUUCCUAUUUCUUCUUGUGAAAACUUAGGGUAGGUUUGUUUUAACUUUUUUUUAAAUUUUCUUAACAACUGAACACCUUAAUGUUAGUCACAAAUGUUUUCCUCUAAGUGGAAACACUUAAAAGCAUGCUCCAACAAAAAAGUUUAGGGUCUGGAUUUCGGCAUCCAAAAGCUCUAGGUAGGGUCAGGAAACUGGAAACCCAUGUUAUUUUUUGUGGCCUUACCCAUUUUUUAAUUAAAUCUGUUUUCGAAAAUUCCCCAAUAAAGAAAGAUGUGGAGUCACAGUAGAUCCACACUCCCCCUACAGAGGAAAUCAAGAUUUUUUAGACAAGUUCGGUUAUUCACAAUCACAACCUCAAUAAAAUUUAAUUAAAUUUUUUUGUAGAUAUAUAUUGGAAGUUCCCAGGAUGUUUCAAGUGAAGAUUUGUCGAUUAUGAACUCUUUCCAAAGUUGCAAAUGAAAGGUAUUGUCUUUUUUUCUUUUUAUUUGUAGCCUGUAUAUUUUUAGCAAUUUUCUGUUUAGUCUAAUUUAUUUCCUCAAUAAUUAAUUUUUAACAUUUUCCAGAUAUGUGUUGCAAGUUCCAAGAAUAUCCCAAGUUGUUGGCUGAAGUUUUGUACAUCACAAAAAAUGGACACCGUCAUCAGUUGGAAAGUAUAACAAAAGGUUUUAAUAAUUUUAUGCCAUAUUUUAUUUAUGAAAUGCUUUGAAAAUUAUAAUUGUGAUAAGUGGCUGUCUAUUAAGUUUUUAACAUAUAUGUUAGCAAAACAGGGCAAAUUGCCAUCUUUAAUUCAGAAAACAACAAAAACAUUAAAAAAAAACAAAUGCUCACUGGAUUGGUUGUUGUUUUGUGUUUCCACCGAUCACAGGAAGUUGUCAAUUUUCAAAGCAUUUUAUUUCAGACCAAGCCAAAGAAUGACUAAUUGUUUGUGUUUUGAAAACUUAAUAUGUUCCAUCUUGUGUGAAUCAUUUUCGACAUACUGUACACGUUUCAUGUUUGGCAUACUAGCUACUUCUUAAAAUACUUGUAUCAAUACAUUUUUAUUUAUGUGUCCUAUAUGUGGACAUAGUUGCUUUUACAUCACAAAGUUUUGCAUGUAGCUAUCAUAAUUUAUGACAAAAGUCAAAACAAUACAGUUUCUCAUUAUUUGGCUUUGUGGUGUGCAUGAGACUUUGAGAAGAAUGAGAUGAUUUUCAAUUUUUAUGUAGAUGAAACAAAUUUUUUACAGAUAUUAAAACAAGAGAGUUUUAAUUGAUUAUUUCGCCAUUGAAUUCACAAACCAGUGUUACGUUUAAUUUUAGUUGCAUGUUUGUUUCUUUAUCACAAAAAAGAACACU